GAGUCAAUUAUGAGAACUUUACAUUGUCUGAAGCCUGGAGAUGAUUUAUAAAUCAUACCCAAUAAGAUUAUGCUGAGUCCC
rnacentral:snoRNA from 1 species